ACCCCAAGCUCUCUCUCUCUCGGCGAUUCAGAAACCCCAAGAAUUUCUAUCACUCGACAAUCGUCAGUAUUUCAGACAUGCGCUGGGUUCGUCAACGAUGGUGGCUGUGGUUGGAAGAUGAUGACGUUGGUUGGUGGCCAGAUUGGUACUAUCCUUACCAGAUCUACCUUUUUUUUUUGUAUUUGUGUGGUUUAUGUUUAUACGCUGUUAAAUUUCAUGUGUUAUAAGUUGUUUUAAACAGUUUUGCUACUGUUUUUGGAUGUAUUUAUGUUAGAUCUGC